ensembl:lncRNA
UCGGUAUUUAAUUACGGAUACAACCUGUGGGAUAAUCCUGGUCUGAGCGGGGAGACGCAGCGGGCACGAGCGGGGCGGCUCCGCGGGGUGCCGGGCCCUCCUGGCUGCCGGGCACAGCUGCGCACAGCUGCCCGGCCUCGGCCCCCCCCGGCUGCUCUGGGGAGGCAGGGAAGGCUCCGCUCCUCCGGGCCGGUGGGCUGGGGCUGGCACCGGUGCUGGGCCCCGCACGGACGGGGGUCCCGGGCGUCCUGGGCGUCCCGGGGCCGGGCUGGCCCCUUUGUUCCCUUGCCCCCUCCCCUGCCGACAGGAAUCCGGCUGCGGCCUCCUGCCAGGGCUGCAACUUCGCAUCCUCUUGCACAAUGGCCAAGGGAGGGACCCGUUAACUGUUUCCUGGCCCAGAACUGCCGUGGUUCUGCCUGGAGAGGGGAGCAGGGAAGGCCACGGUGCGUGGAAACCCUGGGCGACAGUGAGUGGCACCUGGCUGGAGCAGGGUGCAGCAGCCCGGGUGCCUGCCGAGCCAGUCCUGCCGCAGCUCCGCGGGCUGAGCCCCAGGGCUCGGACUGGUCCCUCAGGCCCCCCCGUCUGGGUCCCGGUGCAGCUGUGGGAGAGGGGCCACCGGUGCGGGGGCCCUCGUGCCCCCCGGGUGCCAGAUCCUGCGGGCCGGGCGGAGGCCGAGGGCAUCUCCGGCUCCCGCUUCCCCCGAGCGCCGGCCGCGGCACCCCACAUGGUGCCGGCCCGCCUGGGCUGCGGGAGCUGGUGGGAGCAGGGCAUCCCUCACCGCCCGCCUCUGCCCCCAGGCCAGGCACCGCGGGACGGGGCGCUCCACGACCGACCGCGUCGCAGUGGGGCCCAGCCCCCCAGCGCCGUGGCGCUGCGCCGGGGCCCCCCCGGGGGGGCCGAGCCCCCCGCACCGGCCCCCCCCCAGAUCCUGGUGACCGACUUCAGCACGGCGAGCUGCCUCGAGGGGCCCCCGGCGCCGGGGGGGACGCAGCGAGCGGCAGCGGAGCCGGGCGAGGAGGAUGGCGAGGAGGUCGCCAAGGAGGCCCCCGAGGACGGGAGCAGCAGCGUGGGCUCCAGCCCCGUGGCCCUGGACCCCGUGGAGAAGGAAUGGCUGCAGGGAGCAGCCAGCGGGGACCUGCCGGUCCUGAGCCAGCUGCUCCAGCAGGAGCCCUCCCUGGCCACCAAGAAGGACUUCACCUCGGUGAGUGAGGGGCCCUGAGCACCGUGGCCCCACGCAGGCACCAGGGUCCGGGGGGCUUUUGCCUCUGGGAACCCCACUGAGCCCGGGGCUGCCGGGGAUGGAGAUGGCCGCGGUGCACAGCAUCGCCUCUGCCUGCAUCCGCACCCCGUCCUGCCCCGUUCGCUCCCCAUCCUGCCCCCUCCUGCCCCCUCCCGCGCCCCGUCCUGCCCCAGCCGGGCUCUGACCUCUUCCUCUCCCGCGCGGGGACCCGCC